rnacentral:lncRNA from 1 species
GGGCGGGACGGUUGAAAAAUGGCGGGAGAUUCCGCUCCCCCUCACGGCGGGCGGCGGGACCGACCCCGCGCGCGCGCCCCGACCCUGCCGCCCCGCCCCACAACUCCCACCCCCCACGCCGCGGUGCCGACAGUCUAUUGGCGGGACGCCCGAGUCGCCAGCUGCGGAUUGGCCGCACGGCCGGUCGAUCGCGCCGCCGCGCCCCACCCCGCCGGCUCGGCGGGGUGAGAGGUCACGUUAUGUAAGUAGCGGCGCACUGCGCGGCUCCAUUUUGUGGCCCCCCGUUAUUCGCCCUCCCCACUGUCUCGUGACGGCCAACCACAGCGCACUCCGCCCCCUCCAGUCCCGCGGCCACCAAUCAGAGCGCGUUCUGGCCACCGCCUCUUCUCGCGCCUAUCCGGCUACCGCGGCGGGGCGCGCGCUGGGCUUUGUCCUCCGCGUCUAGCGCGGGGCAUUGUGGGGUUGUAGGGGUGUCUAUGGCGGGCGCAGCUGCCCUCUUAGGAAGGCCCGGGCCGGGUCCAGCCGUGCGAGCUCUCAGCGUCUCCUCGGCGCUGAGUCCCUCCGCUCCGCAGGGAAGCGGAGCGGCGGCUCCGGUGGGCUGGCCUCCGGGGCAGAUGAGGAGGAAGAGGAGAGGAAGGGAGCCGCGGCCUGACGGCUGUGGGGGAAGUGGGGAAGGAAGCCCAGCCAUCCCGUGGGUGCUGCUCCUGGGAAUGGAGGAAAACAAAAAUUUCGAGAGGUGUGGGGGAGAUCCAUUAAAGCAGAGGCACUGGGUAAAUACCGCCUGCUCCUCACUCCACCAGCACCCGGGAUCAACGAUUAACUCCGGGUAAACAGAGCUGACUGCCAGUCAGCCCUUGGCCACAGCAAGGAGGGACAGGGGACCCAAAGUGCUCCUCCCCAGGUGUGUGGGGAAUGUAAAGGCUGGAGUUGGAUGCAAAAGCUGGACGCUGCUGGAGCAGGACACUGGCAUGGAACUGAAGCUCUGGUGCCUGGUGGCCAUUGGACACAUCCUGCUGAUGGUGUGCCAUGGGCGGGAUCAGUCACCAGCACUAUAAAUAGAGCUGGCAGCGAAUCUGCCCUGGGGAAUAACUGCUGAACCCUGGAGCGAGGAACAGACAGCGUGGGCUGGGUGGAGGAGGUGCCUAGGAGGAGGCGUGAUGCCAGUAUCCUGUACUGGGGAGCCCAACAGCAUGUGCUCGAUGCCAAUGCAGUGCCUGUAGGGCUUCAGCUCAACCGGGACGUGGAUCACAGUGCUGGACGAGAUCCAUAAGAG